UAUGGCCAUAUCAUGUUGAAACAUUGGUUCCCUUACGAUCACCAAAGUUAAGCAAUGUUGAGCCUGGUCAGUACCUAGAUAAGAGUAAUCACUUUGGAAUACUAGGUGCUGUAA